CCUUCAAAGUUCGAGUAAGAAUCAUGUUUCAAAAGAUAAAGCAAAUUAAGCAUAAAACAAUCAUCCAACACUCAGUUUCCUAUAAAAUUGACAUCAUAUGAACACUAAAACCAUGGAAACAUGAGUGUUAUCAACUCCCCCAAACUUAAGCCAUUGUUCGUCCUCGAAUAAUGGGAAGAAUAAAAUCAAUAACACGAAUGGGUAAGAAAUCUAGUUCAUCGAUGCCUCCGAAUAAUAAAGAAUAAUAGAAUUCUCAAAUCCUCAAUAAAUAAGCACAAAAUUCACCAAUAAACACAACCUAUAGCAAAAUCAACCUUGACAUUCCAAACAAUUGAAUCUCACCAGGUAUGUGUAUCACUCAACUCUCAAUUUGAUGGAAUAGGACGUGUAUACUCUCAUCGAAAUUCAAUACAAUGCAGAUCUCUUACCAUAGGCUUGCCAAUCGUCUACAAUCUCCAUCGCUAAUAGUGUGCCAGGACUAAGAUCAAAAAGGUCUUUUUAUUCGGGUUAUAAUGUAGGGACAUUGGUUAAGGUAGGGAAAUAUAGGCUAAGUGACUCAAAUAGAUCAAGAACACCAACCUUAUAGCUUCACUAAUCAAGCAUGGA
rnacentral:lncRNA from 1 species